UUUGAUACUCGGCCUUUUGGCUAAGAUCAAGUGUAGUAUCUGUUCUUAUCAGUUUAAGAUUUCAUUUCUAAUUCACUCAGCAGUUAUUGAAGUAUCAUUGAUUUUAUUUCCAGCACACACAGAUGUGAACUCUCUCUGAUCAGAGUCAGGUGAGUCUAGGAAGAUUCCAGAAUCUCUGGAGGUCUC
rnacentral:snRNA from 1 species